rnacentral:rRNA from 1 species
UACGAAGGGGCUAGCGUUGCUCGGAAUUACUGGGCGUAAAGGGCGCGUAGGCGGCUCUGUUAGUCAGGCGUGAAAUUCCUGGGCUCAACCUGGGGACUGCGCUUGAUACGGCGGGGCUUGAGGAUGGAAGAGGCUCGUGGAAUUCCCAGUGUAGAGGUGAAAUUCGUAGAUAUUGGGAAGAACACCGGUGGCGAAGGCGGCGAGCUGGUCCAUUACUGACGCUGAGGCGCGACGCGUGGGGAGCAAACAGG